GUGAUUGCUUCGGCAGCACAUAUUCUAAAAUUGGAACGAUACAGAGAAGAUUAGCAUGGCCCCUGCGCAAGAAUUAAAAAAACUGGGCUAGAAAGCUGGUACAGGGUG